GCUGGGUGUGGUGGUGCACACCUGUAAUCCCAGUUACUCAGGAAGCUGAGGCAGGAGGACUCCAAGUCUGCAGUCAGCCUCAU
rnacentral:sRNA from 1 species